rnacentral:rRNA from 1 species
AACGUAGGUGGCAAGCGUUAUCCGGAUUUACUGGGCGUAAAGGGUGUGCAGGCGGGGAUACAAGUGGUGUAUGAAAUCUCCCAGCUUAACUGGGAUAGGUUAUGCCAGACUGUAUUCUAGAGGACGAGAGAGGGGGGUGGAAUUCCGGGUGUAGUGGUGAAAUGCGUAGAGAUCCGGAGGAACCCCAGAGGCGAAGGCGACUUACUGGACACAUAUUGACGCUGAGGUGCGAAAGCGUGGGGAGCAAACAGG